GCUUCUGUAGCUCAGUUGGUUAGAGCGGUGCAACGUACAGUAAUCGCAGGGCCGCAGGUUCAAUUCCUGCCAGGAACC